GACGAAUAAUUAAUUACUUUCAUUGUAAAUUUGUUAUCUUCGUAUAGUACUAAAAGUAUGAGUUAUUAAGCCAUCCCAACUUAAUAACCAUGUAAAUUUAGCAAGUGAGUAACAUUUGCUAAUAGAGUUAGUUUCCUUGGACUCAGUGCUAUGUAUUUUUCUUAAUUAUCAUUACAGAUAAUUAUUUCUAGCAUGUAAGCUAUCGUAAACAACAUCGAUUUAUCAUUAUUUGAUAAAUAUAAUUUUUUUCAUAAUUAAUAACAUCCCCAAAAAUAGAUUGAAAAAAUAACUGUAAAACAUUCCCUUAAUAAUAAGUAUAUGGUCGUGAGCCCCUCCCAAGCUCGCGGC
rnacentral:misc_RNA from 1 species